rnacentral:rRNA from 1 species
UACGUAGGGAGCGAGCGUUGUCCGGAAUUAUUGGGCGUAAAGCGCGUGUAGGCGGCUCGGUAAGUCUGCUGUGAAAGUCCAGGGCUCAACCCUGGAAUGCCGGUGGAUACUGUCGAGCUCGAGUCCGGAAGAGGCGAGUGGAAUUCCUGGUGUAGCGGUGAAAUGCGCAGAUAUCAGGAGGAACACCAAUGGCGAAGGCAGCUCGCUGGGACGUGACUGACGCUGAGGCACGAAAGCGUGGGGAGCAAACAGG